rfam:Ascaris suum AG00017, whole genome shotgun sequence.
UAUAGCGGCACGUGGCAAAGGUGCUGCGAUGCGCCGCGUUAAAUCGUAUCACAGUUCUUUGUCACCUUUUGCUUCACA